rnacentral:rRNA from 1 species
UACGUAGGGUGCGAGCGUUGUCCGGAAUUAUUGGGCGUAAAGGGCUCGUAGGCGGUUUGUCGCGUCGGGUGUGAAAACCUCGGGCUUAACUCGGGGCUUGCUUUCGAUACGGGCAGACUGGAGGUAUGCAGGGGAGAACGGAAUUCCUGGUGUAGCGGUGAAAUGCGCAGAUAUCAGGAGGAACACCCGUAGCGAAGGCGGCACUCUGGGCCGAUACUGACACUGAGGAGCGAAAGCGUGGGGAGCGAACAGG